rnacentral:misc_RNA from 1 species
AUUUUUUUGAAAUGUUGAAAAAAUAUGCCUAAAUUUUUUUACCAUGUAAAAGUAACCGGGGUGGAUGUACUUGCGUUUGCUGAAUGCCAUACGCUAAAUUUUUUUACCAUGUAAAAUUGGUGAAACAAUACUGUAAAUUUUUUUACCAUGUAAAAUUUGCUGGUGUGGACUUAGAGAAAUUUUAUACUGUAAAUUUUUUUACCUUGUACAUUUUGUUCUACAGGGUGUGGGGUGGACUUGACUUCUUUUUUUUUUUUUUUUGAUGAACUUCAGGGCUAGUUUCUAGUGUGUUAGCCAAGGACCAUAUUUUUGUGUUACACUUUCAGCUU